UACGUAGGGUGCGAGCGUUUAAUCGGAAUUACUGGGCGUAAAGCGUGCGCAGGCGGUUCGUUGUGUCCGAUGUGAAAGCCCCGGGCUUAACCUGGGAAUGGCAUUGGAAACUGGCGAGCUUGAGUGCGGCAGAGGGGGGUGGAAUUCCGCGUGUAGCAGUGAAAUGCGUAGAGAUGCGGAGGAACACCGAUGGCGAAGGCAGCCCCCCUGGGUCGACACUGACGCUCAGGCACGAAAGCGUGGGGAGCAAACAGG
rnacentral:rRNA from 1 species